AAAGUGGCUUUAAGUUUUCAACUGUAAUCAAAAGGCCACAGAAUAAAAAACUACUUAACAGAAAUGACCGUCUCUCCAAGUUUUUCUUUCCUCCAUAAAAAUAACAUUUAUUUAAAAAAAUUACACACAGUAAAAUUCAUCCUUUUUAGUGUACAAGCCUAUGGGUUUUGACAAAUGCAUAUACUUAUGUAACUACAAUAAAGACACGGAAAAUUUCAAUUAUUAAGACAAAUUCCUCAUGCUACCACUUUGUAGUCAAGGAGCAUUCCAACCUUAACCCCUGACAUCCACUGAAGUUUUUUCUCCAUCCCUAUUGUUUUGCUUUUUGAGAAAAUAAUAUGAAUGGAAUCAAACAGUAAGCAGCCUUUUGAGUUUGGCUUCUUUUACUUAGUAAAAUGCAUUUAAGAUUCAUCCAAGUGGUUGCAUGUGUAUUUCAUUAGUUUAUUGCUGAGUAGGAUUCCAUUGCAUGGAUAUACUACGGUUUAUCUAUGCACCAGUUGAAGGAUAUCCUUCAUUUUUAUGUUCCUCAAUUGCAGUGGUCUGUAGGUCUAGUAAAAAGCAGAGGUGAAAUUUUCUACCUAACAGGAAGCACUUCCUUCUAAAAAGUCCAGCUUAGAAGUAUGCCCCUGGUAACAUGUAUCAGAGGCUAUAUCAGGAUAAUUUAUUCCUUGUCACUUAACUAUGUCUGAAAUUAGAGUGUUAAUCCUAAGUGAGCAGUAUAUCAAAGGAAUAGGAGUUUGUCCUGAGUAUAGUCAGAUGAUAUCCCCAGAGUAGGCCUGACAAAUAUUCUGGAAGCCAUGCCAUUGGCAGAAUAUUUUUUAAAAAAUUUUUUAGUUAAAAAAAAAAAUGAAAAAAGUAAAAAUCACCCCAAAAUCACACCACUUUAAAAAUUUUACAAAGUGAAAGUCCUCCUUCAGCCUAUUCAAUCCCACUUCCAAAGUUUUAUUGAGAUAUAAUUCAUACACCACACAAUUCACCCAUUUAACGUGUACAAUUCCUGGUUUUUAGUAUAUUCAGAGUUGUGAAAUCACCACCACGACCAAUUUUAGAACACUUUCAUCAACCUCUAAAGAAACUUCAUACACUUCAACUGUUACCCCCAGCCCUUCCCAUUCCCCCCAACUCUGUGCUAGCCCUAAGCAACCACUAAUCCACUUUCUAUCUCUAUAUAUUUGCCAAUUCUGGACACUUCAUAUAAAUAGUAUCAUAUAAUAUGUAGUCUUUUGUGACUGGCUUCUUGCACUGAGCAUAUUCUGAGUUCUUCCAUGUUGUAGUAUGUGUCAGAAGUGUUCACCACUCUUCUACUUUUUGAAAAAGUUUGUGAAGAAUUUGUAUUAAUUUUUCAUUAAAAGUUUUGUAGAAUUCAUUUAAGAAGCUAUUUCAGCCUGGGCUCUUCUUUGUGGGUAUCUUUUCAAAAACUCAUUUAACCUAUUUACUUGAUAUAGGUUUAUUCAAGUUUUCUACUUCUGAGUUGGUUUUGGUAGUUUGUGUCUUCCUAGGAAUUUGUCCACUUCAUUGAUAAUUUAUUGACAUAAAAUUAUUCAUAAUAUGCCUUCAUAAUCUUUUUUAUUUCUACAAGUUCAGUUGAAAUGUUCCCUCCUUCAUUUCUGAUUUUAGUAAUUUGAUUCUCCUUUUUUCCUGGUCAGUCUAGCAGAAGGUGUGUCAGUUUUACUGAUCUUUUUAUAGAAUCAACUUUUGGUUGCAUUGAUUUUUCUCUACUUUUCUUCACUCUAUUUCAUUUAUUCUCAUCUAAUCUUUUAUAUUUCCUUCUUUCUCCUGGCUCUAGGUUUAGUUUGCUCUUCUUUUUCCAGGGUCUUAAGGUGUAAAGUGAGGUUAGUGCUAUGGUCUUUCUUUUCUUUUUUUUUUUUUUUUUGAGAUGGAGUCUCGCUCUGCUGCCCAGGCUGGAGUGCAGUGGUGCAAUCUUGGCUCACUGCAAGCUCUGCCUCCCAGGUUCACGCCAUUCUCCUGCCUCAGCCUCCCGAGUAGCUGGGACUACAGGUGCCCACGACCACGCCUGGCUAAUUUUUUGUAUUUUUAGUAGAGACAGGGUUUCACCAUGUUACCCAGAAUGGUCUCGAUCUCCUGACCCCAUGAUCUCCACCCGCCCCGGCCUCCCAAAGUGCUGGGAUUACAGGCGUAAGCCACUGUGCCUGGUCUUUUUUCUUCUUAAGUACAGGCAUUUGUACCUAUAGAUUUCCCUGUAAACACUGCUUUAGCUGCAUCUUGUAAGUUUUGGUUUGUUGUGUCUUCAUUAUCACUCAUCUCAAAGGGUUUUGUAAUUUCCCUUAUGAUUUUUUUCUUUGACACAUUUUUUUUUUUUUUUGGUAAUGACAGGGUCUUGCUGUGUUGCCCAGGCUGGUCUUGAAUUCCUGGUCUCAAG
rnacentral:lncRNA from 1 species